UGGUCAUGUGGUCUAACAUCCAAAUGUUGUGAGUCUCUGUUAUCAGCUCUUUGUGCAGAACACUCAAAUCUGACUGUGCUGGACCUGACAGAGAAUAAUCUGACGGAUGCAGGUGCAAGGCUGUUGUGUGAGGCACUGAGAAACCCCAACUGCAAGUUAGAGAAAGUGAGGUUUAAAACCAUUGGGAUUAGCAAACCUCAGAAGAACGAUCUGAAAUCCUUAAAUGAAGAGCUGAGUUCAUCUGGACGGCACAUAGAGAUCAUUACAUGAGAUGAUCAGCCUAAGUCUAUCAGGUCUAUGUAUCCUGAUGGUUCUAUUUUUAUUGUUAUAACACUGAACAUUUUUUAAAUAAAUGAGAGAAAAAGGAAAGACCACAAUAUUAGAACAUUAUAACAAUCUAAACAAGAACAGGCCAUUCAGCCCAAGAAAGCUCACCAGUCAUAGCCACUUAAUCUUCUAAAAUUACAACUACUUGGUAACUUAUUCCAUCUGUCUAUUGCUCUGUAUGUGAAGAAAAAUUUUUACCUUUAACAAGUUUCAAACUGUUCCCCUGUAUUGUUGAUGAACUCAUUUUAAAAUAGUGUCAGUCCACUGUACUAAUUCCCUUCAUAAUUUUAAACACUUCAGUCAUGUUUCUGCUCUUAAUCUCCUUUUGCUUAAACUGAAAAUGCUCUGCUCUUUUAAUUCUUCCACAUAAUUCAUCCCCUGUUGCCCUGAAAUGAGCCUAGUUGCUCUUCUCUGUACCUUUCUAGUGCUAUUAUGUCCUUUUUGUAGCCUGGAGACCAAAACUGCACACAGGACUCCAGAUAAUGCAUCUCCAGUAUGUUAUAAAGCUUGAGCAGAAUCUCCUUGGACUUGUACUCCACACAUUGUUCUAUUUUCUUUUAGCUUUGUGAACACUGUUUGGCAGCUGACAGUGUCAAGUCCACUACUGUAUGUGUUUGUGACAGUGCGGGUCCGCUCCUUGCUCCCUCUUUCAAUUUGGAAGCAUUUUAAACCUGACACUGUCAAUACCAUAACCAAGAUGAGCUUGGCAGAUAAGGACAAAACACACAUGAAGCAAGGGGAUGGUGAGAAGCACUUUUAUUAAAAAUCUCAAAAUCAAACUGUUCCAAAAAGUGCAGUGCUCAAACUGUUGUUACAUAAAUUAAAUAAUCCAUAAAAGUAGUGAAAGUGGAGGUUAAAACAAUCUCAGUGAAUAUCCAUUAAAAUCAGAGGUUAAAAUACAAGCAGGAAACUUUAUUUUUAAAAGCAGUAGCCUCAAUGUCCCUUUAAAAACUGACUCCUCCUAGUCUUAUCCCUUCCCACAUCUUGCAGACGGAGAAGUCUACCAGCAGACUCAGACAACCUUAUGCCCUGACUUGUGUCCCCGUCACCACUUCCUAGGGGAGCCACGAGCCCUGCUCCGCUCAUACCGCUGCCCAUUCGUCGGCACUUCCCGGCAUAGCUCCCUGUCCUCCCACCGCUGCCAGUCUGUCGGCUCUUCCCAGCGAAAGCACAUUCCUGAGCACAACGGUCACUCCUGCUACUUGGUCACUCAGCAGGAGUCACCAUUCAGCCCCCUCCUGAGUGCUGGCCACAUGCGCUUCUUCCUGGAGCUCCAUACCCGUCCGUCUGCCUCCUUUCCGCGCAAUGGAGCUCUCUCUCAAACUCCUUCCUCUCUUGUUCUCACUUUAGCUUCCAUCCUUUGUUCUUCUUUUCGUCUCUUUUUUAAUUUUCCACCCCUCACACUCACACCUUCCUUUGUUAACAGGGAUAUGGCACAGCUGCGACAAUCAGAAGCUCCUGGUGCACAUUAGGGUCAUGGGCGACCCUGCACCUGUGCACUAAGUGCAGGGCCACCCACUCCUGAAUCACACACAGGAACCGCACGCUACCACGAAACACCGCACCAGCACAAAGACGCAAGUGCUACGAUUGUUUGCUUUAAAUGCUGCCAUGUGUAAUAUCUUCAUAGGCAUGCUUGGUCUUACAUUAAUGCUAAUGUUAUGGUGAAUCAUUCAGGGUUAUUUUCAGAAAGGUAUAUUUAUGCAUAUUAAAUAAUGAAGCAGACGCCAGGUAUGCUUUCCAAAAGGUAAUGCCAUGGUUGUUAUGGCAUACAAAGUGUCAGCCUGUUUUCUGUGUUUCUUGGAAUGAAACUGGUGUUAAAUUUUGUGAUGAUCUUGUGCUCGCACAUUUGAAUGAGCUAUGAUCUCUGACGGACUUUAGGUUCUCAGUGUAUGAAAAGCAUAAGUUUGGGUGUACAAAAUAAACAUAAGUGUUUCUGUCUUUCUGCAUGCAUAUCCAUGACUUUCUAGCAUUUUUUUAUUUUUCUGUUUUUAUAGCUUUAUUCUUUUACUGUAUAUAAUUUUUGAGUUUGCUAUUGAUAAAUUGUCAAUUAUUGAACUGAUUAUUUGCCUGCUAUCAAUGUAGUUAAUGCUGA